UCUUUCGGGUCUACAUGCCCUCGAGUGCCAGAUCAUGUCUGAGUUUGAUGCUAAGAAGGAUCAGCCCAGGUUAGUGCUUGGAUGGGAGACCACUAACAAAUACCAGGUGCUGUAAGCU
rnacentral:rRNA from 11 species